rnacentral:hammerhead_ribozyme from 1 species
AUCCAACUGACGAGUCCUAAAUAGGACGAAUUGCACGUCCUAGAU